rnacentral:rRNA from 1 species
UACGUAGGGGGCAAGCGUUGUCCGGAUUUACUGGGCGUAAAGCGCGCGUAGGCGGAAGAUUAAGUCCGAUCUGAAAGCCCCCGGCUCAACCGUGGAGGGUCAUUGGAAACUGGGGAACCUGAGUGCAGAAGAGGAAAGUGGAAUUCCAAGUGUAGCGGUGAAAUGCGUAGAUAUCGGGAGGAACACCUGUGGCGAAAGCGGCUCACUGGACCACAACUGACGCUGAUGCGCGAAAGCUAGGGGAGCAAACAGG